rnacentral:lncRNA from 1 species
GAUUUUCGUAAGGUACUGUGCCUCAUGUUGUUCCAUGACAUUUCCCAAUGCUGAUGAUUGUUCUUCCGAGCAACUUAGGUUCGUACAUUUUGCAAUAAGUACUCUGUACAAUCAAGUCUAUGUAGCAUUGUGAUACUCAGAAUAAUUUCUUAUUCCUGUCUGGGAAAUAUUCUGUGAUUGAUGAAGGCGAGUAAAAUCAAAUGUGUCUGAUUCAGCAUAUUACAGAAAGUUUGAGAAUAUAAGUUGUAGGGUGUUCAAUUUUUAAGACAGUUUUGGAGUUUUGCAGAGAAUGCUUGUUGGAAUGGUGGUGUGCUUUGGAGCAGUUCCUCAUAUUUUGAUCUGUCAAUUUAUUGAAGAUGGUUUCAUGAAACUCUAGAGACCAUAUACGCUACUUCAUUGGACCUCUUUCUAUUGUGUCAAAUGAAUAACCAAGUCCAUCAUCAAAAGAUUAGUCCUAUGACAACCUGUGAAAUAAUUCUCAUCUAUCCUAAAUCAUUUCAAUUUUCAUGAGGUGUUGAUGUAAGUAAUUUCCUCGCCUGUAGGGAAAGAACUUUAAUUGAUAUGGUUUCUUUGUCUCCUAGUUGCUGGUACCUCUUGUGAGCUCCUACCGUUAUGAUGGAGAUGAGGUGAAUAUGACUUUGGCAAAAGCAGAGGCUAAGAUACUCCACGAGAAGAUCUCAGAGAAGGCUUAUGGCCAUGAGGAUCUCAUAAGGAUUUUGGCUACUAGGAGCAAAGCACAGGUCAAUGCUACGCUGAAUCACUACAAAAAUGAGUUUGGAAAUGAUAUCAACAAGGUGAGUUGGAAUUUCUAUGAACUGGACCUUUCAAGUUCUUUUACCUAUAUGUCUAAAGCUUAUAGCUCCUCAAGGAUGAAGAGUGCCAGGGUAGUAUUCUUUUUGGUUAAUAGUCAUGUUAUUAAGAGGCAACUUCAAGAUGUCUUGUUUCAAAAACAUUGAGAUGUGAUAAUAUCACCCAUUUCCGAGUUGUUCAUUCACUUCCAGACUAUAACGUCUGUACUAUGCAUCAGAACAUAUUGACUUUUCUUUGUUCUAGAUUAGGGAUUGUCUAAUUCUUGAUCCUUCAUGUUCACAGGAUUUGAAAACUGAUCCAAAAGACGAGUUCCUUACUAUACUGAGAGCUACAGUAAAGUGCCUGACUCGCCCUGAGAAGUAUUUUGAGAAGCUUCUUCGUCUAGCCAUCAAUAAGCGAGGAACAGAUGAAGGGGCUCUGACCAGGGUAGUUGCUACUAGGGCCGAGGUUGACAUGAAGUUUAUAGGUGAGGAGUACCAGAGGAGGAAUAGCAUCCCUCUCAAUCGUGCCAUUGUCAAGGACACUACUGGAGACUAUGAAAAGAUGCUUCUGGCAUUGAUUGGCCACGUCGAGGCUUGAUUUACAAGUACUCGUGAAGCUAUUCCGGUGGAGGCAAUAUCUCUUUUUUUGGUGUGGUUUGAGGCGUUUCUAUUUUCCUUGCUUUCCAACAACGUGUAGUUACCAACAUGCCUCCCCAGUUGUCAGUUGUAGCUAUGCGAAGCAAAUACACUUCUUAUCAUGGCGUUGGUUUAUGUACUUAUGAGAAGUCUUUGAUUUUGAUCUUUAAUCGAGACUGCUAGUAAGUGAUCGUGAACUUGGUUUCCGUGCAAUCAUGUUAUACCAGUGCUAGCAAAUUCAAUGGACAAUGCUGCAGAAACUGCUGAUGCUAUGGCCUUUUAGUUGAUGAGGAACAAAUAUUAUAACGAUCGGAGGUUAAAGUCCUAUUGAAGUAGCUUGAGGAUAUCCAUCAAAUGUUUGUGUUGUUUUGCCAGAGGAUGUCCAUCGGGGUGGCAGAAUCUCAACCAUAAUGCUUAUUGCUUAGGGUCUUUUCAGCUUCAUGUGGAAACUACAGAUUGCAUUGCCUUUUUCAUCUCUUAUAACACCUCCAUCAGGCACGAAUGCUAUCCGAACCAUCUAUAUUAACAUUAAACCACCCACAGGAGCCUUGGAGAUGCUUUAGCAGUAUCAUGGCAAUCUCUUAAGUUGCUUACCACCACACCCCCACUUCCCACAAGAAAUUCAGCUGCUAAUUGCAAAUUGAUGCGAGGCUGAUCUCAAUAAGCACAACCAUGAUGCAAUUGCUAUGGAACAUUUUGCAGCACACCUAAGGAAGCCUUAUCAAUUAAUCCGUUACGGGUUCAGAUCAGACUAAAAUCCCAACAGGGAAGUGCCAACAGGCACGCGGCCCAUUGGGGUGGGUUUCCAGGGUUGAUUUCCAAGUUCAAAAGUUGGAGUGAGCCCAAAAAAGGAAAAAAAAAAAGCAGGGACGCAAACUGAUGACCGAAAGAGCACCAACUUGAUGGAUGGACAAGCAGAAGUUUCCCUACCCGUCAAGAGCAAGAGCAAUCCCAGGACAUGAAGUGAGGCAUGACCACAGGUAGAAUCUUCAGAAUAUUUUCGUUCCAGGCCAAACAGUGGUCUUAUUAUGAUUGUCCUCCAAUCUCCAAACCAAAUUAGGCUUGUCAGAGAGCAUGCGCAUUCUCAAAGUGGAGAGGAUCAUGUUGUAGCGAAUUGUUGGACCAAGAGGAAAAGAAAGAUUCUUCCCUAGAACCUGUCAAGCCCCCUGCACUUGGAAUUCUCAUGACCUUCACAUGAUGGUUUGACCAAGCCCUUAAGCAAUACCGUCGCCAAGUUAGACUACCAGCGCUAAGGGACUUCUCUUUGCAUGGAGUUUGGGUUGGCAUGGUUUUCUUACUUAGUAUUAGUAACUUAUUCCAAGCAUAUUGUCAAAGCCCUUGUGACUUGCAAUCCGUUGCAGGUCAGUUUGAUGCAAUUGAAAAGGUACAUGGUGGUGACAUAUUAUUAAUAUGAGGAGCAUAUACAAAGUUCAAAGCUACAUCUUGAACAGGGAUGGGAUAGAAAGUUUUCUUAGAAAACCAUUGAUCUAUUUGAGCAAGGACAAGUCCAAGGAAUUCCACAUCCAAAAAAUUAAGCAGUAAUGCAAAUUAUUUACGGUGAAAUCUCUAUCAAGCUAAGGAUUUCUCAUUUUACAAUUACGUUGUGUCAUAUAUCUAUCACAUGGCAUGGUACCGCUUGACACAUUCAUGUGUGAGCUUUACCCUAUAAUUUGUCUUCUAAUUUUGACUUCAGAAAACCUCUAAUCCUAGUAAAUCUCUAAUUCUUAUGCAUUUUAAGUAAUAAUUCUCUAAUCAAUUCUUCUGCAUAUUUGUGUGAUGAUGCUCUUAAUCGUGACUUUAGCAAAUAUAUAAUCCUAGCAAAUCUCUAAUUCUUAAUAUAACUAUUUAUUCUUAUGCAUUUUAAGUAAUAAUUCUCUAAUCAAUUCUUCUGCAUAUUUUUGUAAUGAUGCUCUUAUUCGUGACUUUAGCAAAUAUAUAAUCCUAGCAAAUCUCUAAUUCUUAAUAUAACUAUUUAUGUGUAGAUUAUAUAUGGAAAUACCUAUAUAUUAUAUAUAUUAAGAAGUGUCUCACUAAUUUCAUCCCUAAUUUAAAAACACAACUUAAGCAAUUGAAAUGUUUAUAAUGUCUUAUGACCUUUUCAUUGUUAUAAUAAUUUGCUUCUCCUCUAUCUCUUUUUUGUUAUUAUUUUUUAUCAAGAUCUCUCUUUCCCCCAUCCUCAAAAUGACUCCCGGUGCGAACUAGUUAUAAUGUUUACAAAUUUAUCGUUAAUUCAACUAAUUUGCAUAGUUUUGUGAUUAGUUUAUCACGUCUUCAUAUCCUCACUAUCUUAGUUCACCGGAUAUAAAACCAACUUGAUGAGAUUCGUGAUGACUAGUUUCUAUAUCUUGUAAGUGCCACCUAGAGAUAUAUUCUUCCAGUAUUUAUGGAAUCAUUCUCAUAUCUUUCUAACAUUUUGAGAAGUGAUUUUUAGAGUUUAUAGAUUGAGGAAAUUGGGGUUUCGAACCCAAUUAAGAUUUAGCUUAUUGGAUCGUAAUUGUAAUUCUCGAUCGAGGAAAGGAAAUCCAAUGGUGAUAUGGGCUACCUUUUCGGUCCAUGGAGCAGCUUCAGAUGCAGGUAAAUGAUAAUGGUUGUUUCGAGGAGAGUGAAGUUGAGGGUAUAUGAAGAGUUUAAAUUUAAAGUGGUGUGCAUGCAUUUCCUUUAAGAAUACUUGCUUAAGAUUAGGUUUACAAACGUUUAACAUUAUCGAGAUAUAUAUAUUGGGUAAAGACCAUCUCAUAUUUGAUUGCUAUUAAUAUCUAAGAUCAAUCUCAUACCAGGCUCAUACUUGACAUAUAAAUAAUACUCGUAUUUGAAAAAUAAAAUAUCAAAAAAUCAAUCUCAUGUUGUGUCGCGACCUAAAAGUUCCGGGGCACCACCUAGACUUUUAGGUUAAUGGAUUACUAAGUUUGAAACUUAACUCAAGCCUUCCCAAGCUCAUACCAAUUCGCGACUUAGGGUUCCAAUUUUUUUAACAUGCAGAUGAAUUUUACCUAAGAGUCGCCACUAAUCAGUUUUCGGUAGAUCGAUUAGAUACCUAAGUAAAAUAAUGGGAAAAUUAUUUUACUCCUACGAACCAGAUAUUAUAAGUGCGGGGACUUGAUUACGCUAGACUAAUCUAGUGCCAUUUCGGUACCUUUUAUUUAAAUAUAUAUAUAUAUAUAUAUAUUUGUAGGCAGUAUUGAUUAAUUUUAACUUAAGCUAAAUAACAUGCAAAUUGUGGUCAUACAGGUACACAAUCAAUGAAAUAACAUUCAAUAAACUAAAGUGAUAGAAUUGUAAUAAAUUAUUAAUGACAACCUUACAAAAAUGCUAAUGAAAAUGCAUGCCCUAAACAUGAUUUUUUAAAUGACAUGACACUUAAUUUUUUAUUAAUUAAACGUAAUCUUAAUUCAACUUAAUAUGCAUGAAUUUAUUUUAAUGACAUGCGAGAUGCAAUUUAUAUGGUAUGACUUAAACUUAUCACUAUAUGUAUGCAAUCUAAUUUAUAUAAUCCUAAAUAUGCAUGUGCUAUGUGAUAUGGGAUGAAUGACAUGGUAUUUCUACAUGCAUGCUCUUUUAUGAUUUUUUUUUUUAAUGAUGAUUCAUUUUUUAAUACAUAUAUGCAACCUAUGUUAAAUAAUGAUGAUAUGAAAUGAGAUUAAUUAUGAAUUAACCUAUUAACUAACCAAGGAAAUGAUCUUUAGUUUUUUUUUUCUUUUUUAAUGACAUAAUGUUUUUUUAUUGAAAAGAAAGUAACUUAAUGGUGCAAUGAUCAUCUUUUAGCAUUUUCCUUUUUUAUUAAAAAAAAAACAAUUAAACUAUAACUCAUAUGGCAUGCAUAACAUUUUUUGUUCCUCUUUUUGUUUUACUAAAUGAAAAUUGACUUAAUCUAAAAAUAUCUAAGUGUGUUGCUUUAACAUGAAAUGUGUAUGGACCUAAGUACCUAAGUUCUAGAUAUGACAAUAUUUUACUAAUAAACAAAUUCUAAUUAAACCUAUUAUGCAAAUUAAUUAAUAUGUACCUAAUAUUUUUUGGAUUCUUUUUAUUGAAAUUCGGAAUUAAAAAAAAAAACUAAUAAGACUAACUAAAGUGAAUGAUAUUCUAAUUUAUUUUAGGAAUCAAUUUAACUUAAACUAUAUCUUAUCUUAAAAGCUAUAUAAAAAAUCAAGACAUGCCAACAUUAUUUAAAAUUAGCUCUAACAAAAAUCACCCAUCUAAAAGUACAAUCUAAUAAUUAUAAUCCUUUAAAUGCAAUUCUAAUUUACUAACCCUAAAAAUACAGUCCUAAUUUACUAAACCUAAAUGCUCUAAUGCAAUAUUUAGAUUUUUAUGCACUUUUUGAUUUUUGAUUUUUAUUUUUUUAAUCUUUCCAAACAAGUAAUUAUUUUAAAAGAAUGAAGAUAAGAAUUAAAAUAACCGAAAAAAUAAUCCGUUGUCUCACGGAUUAAAUUAAUAAUUAUUUUAACUCUAUAAUGAUUUAACAAUUGAAAUAUUAUCAAAAUUCCUAAAAAUUAAGGUAAUUAAAAAAAUGACCCGACGUCUUACGGGUCAAAUUAAUAAUUACCAUAAUUUGGGAUAAAACCCCUUAAUGUCUACAAGGUCUACAAAUAUUGACAUAUAAUACUACAAUUCAAAUAAUUAAACUUAAAAAUAAGCUAAUAUAAAAUGAAAUAAGUAAAAAAUAAAAAAUGAAAAUAAACUACCUAAGGCUUGGAAAAUGGGAGCAGCGACGGUGGUAAAUGGCGUCGGUGGAAGGGUGUCCGGCGUCGUCAGAAGUUACCGUCGAUCGGAGUCUCCCCGUGGUCGGAGCUCCAGCGAGGUCUGGCAAAGGUAGACCUGCAACAGAAACAGGGGAGGCAGCAGGGAGCGUCGGGGCGUUGCAGCGGCAGGCACAGGCGGUGCGGGUCUCCGGCGAAAGGCAGCUGACGCGCAGGCUACUGGCGCGGGCGUCGGGGUGGAGCGGCGAGGCGUCCGGCGGCUGGGUCGGCGAGGAGGGCUCGCGGGCUGGUGCGUCGGAGGCGUUGGUACGGCGUCCAGUAGGGCAGCAGCAACUCGGCUUAGGACUCGCUGGCGUGCAGGGGCAGCAGUGGCGCGGCUGGGUGAACGCGAUGGCGCAGGUGCGGGCAUGGUGGUGGCGGUAGCUGCGCAGGCUGCUGGUACGGGCGUCGACGGUUACAGGCGUCGAAGGUGUUGCUGGCGUCGGAUGGUCGCCGUGGACAGAGACGCGGGCAGGGGCGGCGUUCGAGCAACAGCAGUCCGACUUGGGCGGAGACGGAGCAGGGUUGAGCUGCUGCGGGGAGCGUCGGCGAAGGAGAUCGGAGGCGCGAGCGUCACGGGAUCCGGUACUCGGGUGGUCAGAGGCGCAGCAACAGCGGGAGCACAACGGACCGGCUUGGAAUCGGCUGCACUGCGGGUUGCAGAGGCGCGGUCGUCAGGCUACAACGGAGGAGCAGUUCGUCAAGCAGAGGGUGGAGUGGCUCGACUCGGGCUCGGCCAGAGCAGCAACAGCGUCGGUACAGAGUCAGAUCGGCACUGGGCGGUCGCGGACAAUCGGCGGAGCGGCGAUGGCUGGCGGUUCAACUGCCGGCGGUGGGUGGAGACGCGGUAGGCGCGACAACGAGCAGAACAGGAGCCGCAGCAACGUCGGAAGGGGAACGGGCAGUGGCCAGCACGGCGCGAGACUACCCACGCGAAGAAGACGACACUGUUCCUGAUUUUUUUUUACUUUCCCUGCUGAUUGACGUCUUUUCACGGUCUCCUCUCUCUGCUGAACCCUCACACGUCUCCCUCACUCUCACUUUUCUGCUUUGCCUCACGUCAUCUCCCUUGUAUCUUCUCUUCUCUCCACCUUUUUUUCUGUUUGACUUUUCUCCUUCCCUCUCUCACAAAUCGAAGCCCUCUUUUCUCUUUUUGCUCCCUUCACUUUUCACUUUUUUUUCGACGAAGAUAAACCGCCCCCUUUGGUUCCGAAACCCUAUCUAGCACCGACACCGACACCGAUACGGACAUGUGGCACGUGACACGACACGACAUUACACGUCGACACGUCAUUUUUUAAAAAUAGAGAAUUUCGACACGUAUUAAUUUACACAAAAAUAUUAAAUAAUAUAAUUCAUUAUUUUAAUUUGUUACAAUAAUACACAAAACUUAGAGGAAAAAAACGUUGUUUAAAUAAAAAUGCUGAAAUGAUAUUUUUAAAUUUAUUUAUUUAUCAUAUAUAACAUUUUUUAUUACUUCUUUCAGAGUAAAAUACUUUAAAAAAAAUAAAACAAUUCUAAAAAAAUAAAACUGAAAAAAAAAUUGACCCAGUGUGUGAAUAUUUAUAGCAAUUUUAUUACUUAUUUUAUUACUUCUUUUGUGUAUAUUUAUAUUUUGACCCCUUAAGUAUUAGAAAUUUUUAAAAUUGACCCCGUGCGUGUCAAAAUCGCGUGUCAGAAUUCUGGACUCGCGUGUCGGAGUGAGUCGGAAAAAGUUGACCACGUGUCGGAUUUUUCGACACUCGUUGACCGCGUGUCGGAGCGUGUCGGGACGUGUUGGAGCGUGUCGGACACGUGUCGGAGUGUCGGACAUGACACGAAGGCUUCCGGAGAGUGUCCGUGUUACAUAGCCGAAACCUCGCCCUUUACUUAUAGAGGAAGGCUCAAAGUUAUUUUUUGCGAGUGAGAUAUUCACUCAACAACUCCAACAAUGAAAAGGCUUCAAAAUCAAAUAAAAACUGAAUUUUUUUGAAUUUUGAAAUGAAGAUAUAUUUUCAACAAGAAAUUUCCAAAACCGAAUUUUUAUUUUAUUUAUUAUUUUCUAAAAUAUUAGGUGUCAACAUGUUGGAUUUAUAUUUAACAAAUAAAUAACAUUGAAAAAAUCAAUCAAAUUAAUAUUGAUCAUCGCAAACAAUUUAUAUAACAUGCUCUGCAAAUGAACCAUUAUAGUAAAUCACCCAUCAUAGAAGGGAAAAACGGUAUAUGUUUAGAAGGUCCUGUUACAUGACUGUAUGUUUCAGCAAUAAAUAUAAGGAUAGGGUAUAAUGAGUGACUAUUGUUAUGAUUAGUUAUAUGAAUACGCAUUAUAACAAAAUAUUUUGUGGAAUUGCAUAGAAAAAUGAUAUUAACAAAUCAAUAAAGAACUUAUAUAACGAUAGAUCAUAUUUAAUAAAUAAAUGACAUUAAUAUGUCUCAAAUCUAUGGUAGAAAACAUGCUCGCAAAUAGUUGAACAGUGCAGAAAUAUUUAUUAUAACAUGAUAAUUUAUAUUUAACAAAUAAAAAAUAGUUAAAAAUUUUAUGACAUGAUAUCCCAGGUAUAAUAAAUAAAUAAACAAAUUUAUACUAAAUCUCUGCUAAAGUAUCGAUAAUAACGUAACCCAUCAUCACAGAAUAUUGCUAGAACAUAUUAUACAAAUAAAUGAUAUUAGCUAAUCAACUAAAAAAAGUUACCAGUGCCUUGGUAUUAUUUCUCCAAGAAAGAUGGGAUAAACAACUAAGAUGUCAAUUUUCGUCGCAAGUGUGCUGGUUCACCAAGAAAUGGCAUAUAAAUCGGUAUUUUUUCAGACUUGUCGUAGAAAAGAUAAGGCACAUCUUUUAAAGCGAUGAAGACAAGUAUCAAUCAACGUUAACUGUAUCAAAUAAUUAUCUUGAAGUAACAAUCUUUUAGGAUAAUAAGAAGUAUAUAGUGUCGAUCCCGUGCAAUGUAUGGACAUCUUGUUAACAUAUAAGAAAAUGAGAAUACUAGAACCUUCCUCUGUUAACGUGAAGUCAUAAAUGUAUGAGAACAUGUACAUGUCAUGCCCCGAACCUUCCCUCGUCGUGGGAAAAUAACAUUUGUAGGAUUAAUUUGCAACGUCCCAGGAGAUGCUACCGUCUCGUUACUUUUAUAUUUUAGUUAAGCACAAGCAAGAACGUGCAACUAUAAUACCCAACCAAUAAAUACUAAGCUGAUAGUAAGGAAAAUACAUACACAAACACACUACUUAUAUUAUGCUUCAUUAGGAUUGGAAGGUUGCAUUUACAAGCUUGCUUAAUUGGGCCAUUCUGAUUACAUCCAAAAGGGAUAGAAGGUUAGUCCUAACUCCUCUACAAGGAUGGCGUCAAAAGCUAGUAUCCCCAUGGUUAGGCCGACGUCCUUAUGGGACGAGGUCGGAAUUAGUCAUCGAUUGUCUAGCGGAUUCAACACCGUGACAUCUGGUGAGGAUUUGUCAAGGCCUUUAGGUGGUUCGACAUAUCUCGAAGGGUCCAAAAUAACCCCCAUUAAACCAGACAUACCAAGUUUUGAACCAGUGAGGAACUAAAUGCCCUACACCAGCUUCCACCCGCAUCAUAGUGGUACAUUGUUUUAAUUUUGCUGACAACCCAUGCUCCAACGACAUUUGUUGAGGUCAAAUGUGGGGCCCUCUCUUGAUUUAAGAUUAUGCCUUACCUUCUUUUUUUCUUCUUCUUCUUCUUUUUUUUUUUUUUUUUUGCUUUUCUUUGUUCAUUUCGAUCGAUAAUGAUCGGACUUCCCGUAUCCAUACCCACUUUUGAUAGUAAGUGCUCUAUUUUGAGGAACAAAAUUGGUGUCCCUCUUUUUCGAAAAAUAGUUUAUUUAGUAGAUAGACGACUGAUUAUUAUGUUAAUGAGUUGUAUAUUCUCUUUUGUACUAGGCAAUUAUUAUUUAAAAAAUAACCUUAGCACGAGUAAGAGAAAAAACAAUCAUCUACUAUUUUUAGUAUGCAUUUUUUUAAUUAUAAUUUUUAUAUGCGUUAUUACAUUGUAGUUUGUAUAUUUUAACCUCUCUUCUUUCAUUUUAUUGAGAGAAUCCAAUAGUCCAAUUUUUUGUUACUUUUCAUGCCAUCAUUUCAUGAUAUCCAAAAUACGAAAAACUUGAGUACAUAAAAAAAUUUAAACAUCAACUAUUAUCACAAAAUGCAAAAGAAAAUGCUCCCCAAAACAUUGUUACGUAUAAUAUUAUCUUUGCUUUGAUUACGCGAUUGUUGACAAGAAUUCAUGACAACUGUAAUGACACUACAAGACAACCCAAUCAAACCAUUUGCAAACUUAUUUUUUUGUCAAUUCUAAAUGCAUCGGAAUUUUUCAUAAAAUCAUCAAUUAAAAGUAAAAUUAUCCUCAAGAUACAAAUGUACUGCAAUAAUAGCAAAUUGCAUAUGCAACUUAAUAAGAGAUAUUGUUCGUUCGAUUGCUUGGCUCCCCUAAAAAAGUUUACUCUCGAAACUAUAUAUGUAUGUAGGAAUAAUUUUCAAUGUUAUAGUACCACAGCUCCAAAUGAACUAGUUGACACGAUUGAUUGUUGUUCUCCAUUCUUUGUUUCAUCAUCAACGGAUAUAUUUUAAAUAUUUGGUUGCUCUUCAAUAUUGUCCUCCAUAAUGACUGGACUACAAAAAAUAAAACAAUGAAAGAUGAGUAUAUUGUAUAUAAUGUAUUCAUCAACCAUAAUAUUCCACCUUUGAGUAAAUUAUGAUAAUUUUGUACCAAAAGUCGAAGUCAAAACAUUGAAAAUCAUGAUGAUUUUAUGGGAAAAUAAAGUUAAUAAUUAGCGAAAUAAGUUUAGAAGAAGACAUAUAUAAAACGUUAAACUGUAAUGGGCGUGGAAGAAGCAGACAGAGUGAAAAAAAAGUUGCUUGAGACGAUGUGUGUGGUUUUUUCUUUUAAUAAAAUAGAUACAAAAGAAAACAAAGAAAAAAUGUAAGAAAUAAUCUUAAAUCAAGAGUGAGACUCGCAAUGAAUAAUGUAGUUAAUUUAAGGUGAAAAUAAGGGUGUCAAGAGCCAAUAAACAUGGAUGAAAUGCCUAGAGCCUUGAUUUAUCCUAAUUUGCUGUUUUGCUUGUGACUUUCACACAGUUGUUCAUUCCUAUAUUAGAAAUUUGGACUUACUUUAAAGAUUGCAUUAUCAAUUAUAUUUUUUAAAUGAACGUGUGUAUGGUCCGGCAAGAUCUCAAAACCCAUGCGCGACCUGGCCCGCCCGUUAAUCUGGCCUGAAAAAUUUGUCCAAAGCCGGCUCAACAGGCCCGGAGGGGGCCUGCCUACCGCGUGCCUCAUCUCCCUCAUCUCACUCCUCGUCCCUCCGGUUUCCACUUCGGGAAGCCCGAUGUAGGAAUUGCACCGACACUCGUACCCCCCUCUCUCUCUCUCUCUCUCUCUCUUGUUCUCGCUUCGACGUGAACGCAGAGCCGGUGCUCUCCAUGGCCGAUGAAUGCGAUCAACUCCGAAAAGCAUUCGCAGGGGCACGCUAUCUCCUCGCCACCUUUCUCAUUUCUUCGUGCUCCCCUGUCGUGCAUGGUCCAGUCCGAGUGAUCUUGUGGUGGCGAUCUGAUCUAGAGUUCUUGUGCUUUCUUUUUGGGGUGAUCAGCUGCUAAGGUCGAGCUGUUUUUGGGUCCAGAAGUGAUCAGGAGAUGCAAAAAAAUUCGAUCGAUCAUUAUGAUUUCCUUUUGAAUUCGACAUGAUUAUCCCACUGUAGCUGCAACAUGUUCACCAGUACAAAGUGAAGAAAUUGUUUUCCUACCUUGAGCCCGGCAUGUAGUGUGGUCUUGGAAAAAAAAAUAACACUUUAUUGUCUAAUCUAAUCUUUUCUCGUUUGAUGAUUCUCAUGAACGACUUGAAGGAUGGGCAACAAAUGAGAAGUUGAUCAUCUUCAUAUUGGCUCAUAGGAAUUCGGUGCAGAGGAAGCUGAUUAGGUAAACCUAUGCCAAGAAUUAUGGCGAGAACCUCUUCAAGGCAGAAACUUGUAUUUUGAUACGGUUUGUUUGUCUCCUAGUUUUGUCUUCUUUCGAAAGAUUAUACAGCCAUUGUUUUCAAUUGUUUCUCAUGAGAGACAUUGGAGAAAUACUAUAAUUGCUAUCUAUCUACUAUUCUCAUUUGAGACGUUGUAUCUUAAAGGAAAUUUGCCAGUGAUCAUUAGUAACAUUGUGGGAUAAAUAAAUCCUUAAAGAAAGUGAAUCACGCCUCAAAAUCCGAUUUGAUUGCUCUAGAGAUCUGACUUCAUUGUUCUACCCAAUUUCAAGCCAUAUUUUUCCAGCAAUUUUAAGGAUUUAUUUUGCAACAAUGAAGUCAAGUGGAUGAAAGUUAUGAAUCAAGCGCCGGUUGUCGACGCAAUCCUUCAUCGUCUGAUCCACGCGUUCUUCGUCCAUUCACAAAAUCAAUUGGAUCUUCUGGUGGAGUUACUGAGGAUCAAGGAAAUCCGGAGGAUCCGUGAGUCUUUUCAUUUCUUUCCUUCACUUUUGUUAUUUUUGCGCAUGAUGAUUGGGGGACUCGAUGACAAGAGAGAUUUCGGCAAGAGCGAUCCGCAACGAAUUAUGCGCACCGUGGGGGGUUUGAUUUUAUCGAAUCCCGACAUGGGUUGUGGGUCGCCAUGAGGAAUGUGCCAAAAUGCUAAUCUGAGAGUUCCUUCUUCUUCUACUUCUUCGUUCUCUCUUGUAUGUUUCGGUGUUUCGUUGUUUUGUUACUGCAAUUGGGUGUCUGCGAUUUGAUUGCUCUUCGUCUGGUAGACACUGCAUCCGUUUAACUAUGAAUGUUUGGCUCGCUUCUGGAGAUUCUCAGUCGGGAUUCCCCAUGGGUGGAUGGUGCGGGAUGCCUCAAAGUUGAAAUGCCCCAUGAGUUGGGAUGCUCCGUGAGUCGGGAUGCCCCGAGAAUGUUGGAGAUAUAGAAGUAAUAACGAAUUAAAUGCAUUAUCAUGUGUAGAAUAUUAUUUUAAAUUAAUUACCUUGUGCUAAAACAUGGUAUGCCAUAUGCAUAAGUCUAGAUGGAAGCAUUGUUGGAUGAUGAUUACUGUGAUGUGUGAAAAUGCGAAAGAAAAAGUCUACUCAUGUUUUAUCACAUUUGCUAGAUUGUUAUGCAUUUACUUUGUGUGCACCGGGUGAAGUGGUAAGAGGAAUUUUCUAACUUAAAAUUACAAUAUUUACUAGGCUUCGGCUCAUUCCUUUAUUUAUUUUCAUAUGUGUAGGAUGGACACAACUCAACCUUUGUGCUAUGGAGUUCCUAUCCAUUAUCAAGGUCUUUAUGAAAGUUUGCUUAAACCUAAGUCUAGAAUAGUGUAUACCAAGUGUAGUUCUACUGCGUGGGUUGACGUGGGAGGUUUCAUGGAGUGGGUCCCCUAAAGAUUUGUCGCCUAGUAUCGGAACCUGGACGGCGAGUUGGUUUGUCCAUUGAAGGGCUUCGACCUUGAUGAUGGUGGCAACACAAUGGAGGGAGAAGUUAUCGAUCCAUGACUUUGGUCUGGACGUUUGUAUAGGCAGGCUUUUGAAGUAUAGUAUGGAGAUUGGUCUCCCUAACCCCUACCUAGACUUUUGUAUCUAGCUCGUAAUGUAGUAAAGUGGUGAACUUAAAUGUGGUAUAAAUAAAAGAAGUAUAAUAUGUUAUCUAUAUUCGUACGGCUUUCUUUCUAAUGGGAUUUUGGAAAACGUUUGAUUACGCUUCUGCAUGCUAAAAGAGAAUGAUUUGUGCACAAGACUUGUUUGUUCUGGGCAUCACACAUAUAUUGGUAAUAAAUCUUUAAAAAUAACUAUUUAUGUACAGAUUAUAUAUGGAAUUAUCUAUAUUUUAUAUAUUUAAAAAGGCUCUCACUAAUUUCAUACCCAAUUUAAAAACACAGCUUUAGCAGUUGAAAUGUUUAUAAUGUCUUAUGACCAUUUCAUGGUUAUGAUAUCUUGUUCUCCACUGUCUCUUUUUUGUUAUCAUCUUUAAUCAAAAUCUCUCUCUUUCCCCCAUCCUAAAAUGACUUAUGGCUUAUGGUGCGAACUAGUUAUAAUGUGUAUAGAUUUAACGUUGAUUAAACUAAUUUGCACUGCUCCGUGAUUAGCUUGUCUCAUCUCCAAAUCUUCACUAUCUUAGUUCAUUAGAUAUAAAACCCACUUGGGGAGAUUUCGUGAUGACUAGUUUCUACAGCUUGUAAGUGCCACCCAGAGAUAUAUUCUUUCAGUAUUUAUGGAACCAUUCUCAUAUCUUUAGAACAUUUUGCAAGAGGGGUCGUUUGACCCCUCUUGACGCAUCGAUAAUCUACCAAUCAUGGUUUUGUGGAGUGAUUUUUAGAGCUUAUAUAGAUGGAGGAAAUUGAGGUUUCGAACCCAAUUAAGAUUUUAGCUUAUUGGAUCGCAAUUGUAACUCUAGAUCAAGGAAAGGAAAUGCAUUGGAAAUUUGGGCUACUUUUUCGGUCCAUGGAGCUGCUUCAGAUGCAGGAAAAUGAUAGUGGCUGUUUCGAGGAAAGUGAUGUUGAGGGUAUUUGAGGAGUUUAAAUUUAAUGUGCUUGUAUGCAUGCAUUUCCAGCCAUUCAAGGUGGGAAAAAUAAAAGUGUCCUUUAAGAAUACUUGCUCAUGAUUAGGUUUAAAAGAGUUUAACAGCAUCGAGAUAUUUAUCUCUUCUUUUAUUAAUAUUAAUAUAUGAAGAUCAAUCUCAUACUGGGUUAAUACUUGACAAGUAAAUAAUACUCGUAUAUGAAAUAGAAAAUAUUAUAAGUUCAAUCUCAUAUUGGAUUCAUUUUGACAAAUAAGUAGCAUUAUAAAAAUCAACAAAAUAUAUAUCCAUCAUCACAAACAAUUUAUAUAACAUGCUUUACAAAUGAAUCGAUAUGAUAAAAUCACCAAAGGGAAAAAAAAGUACAUGUUUAGAAGGUUUCAUUACAUGACUACGUAUAUUUCCACAAUAAGGAUAGCAUAUAUUGAGCAAUUCUUGUUAUGAUUAAAUGGUUAUACAAAUACCCAUUAUGACAAAAUACUUUGUUGAAUUGAAUAGAAAAUUGAUAUUAACAAAUUGAUAAAGAGCUUAUAUAAGACAAAAGACCAUUCAACAAAUAAGUGAUAUAAAUGUGUCUAAAAUAUAAGAUGCUCGCAAAUAGCUCAUCGAUGUAGGAAUAUCUAUUACGACAUGGUAGUUUACAUUUAACAAAGAGAAAAUUGAUAAUAUAUAUAUAUAUAUAUAUAUAUAUAUAUAUAUAUAUUUGUAUAACAUGAUAGCCCAAGCAUAACAAAUAAUGAUAUAAAUAUGUGCUAAAUCUCUGCUAAAGUAUUGAUAAGAAUUUAACCCAUCAUCACAAAAAUGCUAGAACAUUAUUUGCAAAUAAAUGAAUAUUACCAAAUCAACAAAAAAUAUUACCAAUGCCGAGGUAUUGCUUCUCUAAGAAAGAUGCGAUAAAUAACUAUAAUGUCAAUUUUCAUCACAAAUGUUGCUUCGCCAAGAAAUAUCAAAUAAAUCGGCAUUCGUUCAGGCUUAUUGAAGGAAAAAUUAGGCACAUUUUGUAAGGAGAUGAGGACAAAUAUCAAUCAAUAUUAAAUGUAUCGAUAAUUAACUUAAAGUAACAAUUAGUGCUCGAUUGACGACCAACUUUUAGGAAAAUAUAAAACAUAUAGUGUUGGACCCAUGCAAUGCACGGGCAUCUUGCUAAUAUAUAAUAAUAUGAGAAUACCAUAACUUUCCUCCAUUGAUGUCAAGUCGCAAAGGUAAGGGAAUCCGUCGAAGUCCUUUAUGUGCCGCAUUUUUCUGAGUAGAGAAUAUCUUCUCUGAAAUACAAUAUUCAACUUCACUGGGGUAACUCUUCUUGACUCGAGCAGGACUUUCUCGUUGCAUUUUUGGAAUUUCAUCAAGCAAUAGUGCUUUUUUGUUUUUGGGCAUAGAUAUAUUGGUUUAGCUUUCCCCACUUUUUUACCAUUAUUACAUCCCAGUCCUUGCUCCAAAAUGACCUAUAAAUCUUUGCAAAUUAACAAAACAAGUUAUGACAUGAGUUGUGUGGAUCCAUAAGUAAUAUUUUUCUUAGCCGAUGAUUGUGGAUUUAUAAGUCCAUUCACUCAAUCAGAAGAAGAGGGAACGAAGAUUGAAUCACUUUAAGGUAGACCAUAUUAUCGUUGAUGCAAAAACCAAAAUGAGCUUUGAGUAAUUAAAGAAAGAACUAAUAGAACUACCGAAUUGUUUACUUGCACAGAAUCGUGGCUUUUUAGAACCGUGACAAAUUUUCAAACUUAGAUACAUAUACAGGUGUUGAUACAAAUAUCAAUCCUGGUCGAAUUGGGGUGGAGGUGGUUUUUCCAAGAGGAUGGUGAAGAAAUCUAAGGAUAUGUGGCAUGGUGAGAGUUAGGACCUGUUUGAUAAUCAUACUGUUUCUAAGAACAAUUUCUGCUUAGAAAUUCUUUACUAUUUUUAAUUCUGUUUCCUAGACAAGUUUCUAAGCAUUCGAACGCGUUUAGUAACUGUCUAAAAUUUCUAUUCUCAUAACAGAAAAAGAAUUGGAAUGCAAGGACGACCUUCAAAUUUUUUUUUAAUUUAUAAGUAAUUUUAUGAAUUUUUUUUCUUCCCUUUUUUUUUUUUUUCCCUUCUCUUCUUCUUCCUCCUCCUGCAGCGGUCGCUGGCAAUCUUGCCAACAUCAAGGGAGCCUUGUCGUCCCCUUUUUAGGUCGAGUCUCACCCUAGUGGAUGAGGCUCGGCCUCACCAUGGCCAAGUGAGUUGACCUCGUGGUGGCUGGGUGAGGUUGAGCCUCACCAAGCCAAGGUGAGGCCAACCUCGCCUUACCACAGCAAGGUCGAGCCUCGUUGAGGGCUAGUGAGGCUCCAGUGAUGUUGUUGAUCAUUGCUGAGCCCGGCAACUAGCUAAAGGAGGAAGAAGAAGAAAAGAAAAGAGGGGAAAAAAAAAGAAAAUAGCUUAAUUUUAGAAUUGUUCUAGGUAACAAAAAAAUAACUUUUUUUCUAUUUCUUGAUUCUGUUCUAAAUUUAUUCCUAGGAGAAAAAAAAAAGUUAACAUUACCAAACAAAUUAAUGUACUUUUUUUUUUUCAGGAAACAAAAGAACAGAAAUAGCUAAGAGUUGAUCGGUUACCAAAUAGGCCCUUAAGCAAUCAUCGGAUGAAUUGGGGAUAGCCCCCUCAAGAUUCAUAUCCCCAAAGGUCACAAGGAGAGCAAAGUUACAUUUGGCACUGCUUUGCUCCUUGGUGUUACAUGAUACCGCAUAUGUACACGUAAGUAUAUUCGGUACAAGAGAGGGCUCCCGCCACAUUGAUUCAUUCAAGAUCACUUCUAUAUGAAAAUCUUGUACUUUCUUCAGGGAGGUCAGUUUUUGUAGAUUCUGCUCCACUUAUGAGAAAUAUUCUCGUCUUGUUUUCCCCUGUAAAAGCUUGGCAUGAUGAAUGUAGCAGGAGGAAUUCAUAAUUGCUACUUUGGCCGAAGCAAGAAACCCGAUCAUUUAUUGAACCGAGGUACAUUGCCCAAAAGAAAAACGUACUCAGGUAUGUAAGAGUCGGUAGAAUGAACAGAGAAAAGAAUUACGCGUGUAUAGCACUGAAGCAGAGAUGUUUGUUGGCUUAAGAGAGAAAAAGCAAUAGGAAAUUUGCAAUCAUUUCAAGAAGACGAUGGUGGAGGUGGAAAGGCGAUGAUGGGUCACAAUCUGGUUUUUCCGGAAAAGAUCAAAUAAACUUUGAGAAAGCUAAGCAUUGCUUUUAAACUUUAAGAGAAAGUGAUCAAUGGCUUCUCUACCUCUUUCUCUCUUUUCCACCACGAACUGCAGAUUGAUACGUGUCUGAAGGACAAUUCUAUAUCCUCCAGCGGGGUGCUCAACAAAAGGAUGAAAGGCCAAAAGAGGAAGAGAAGUAGAAUAACGAGAUGUCAGAAAGUUUUCUACGUCCACACUAAAAGGGGAAAAUCACGCAGGAAUUGCCUUCUGUAGACGUGUUGGAAUUAAAUAGGACGAGAUAUCACUUGUGGUUUUAUUCUAUAUAAUUUAGGACUAAGAAAUACUCUAGCGUCGUAAGUUUUGUUUUUACCAUAUUUAUAUUGGAUUUCUUAAAUGCGAACUCUUUCUAUUUAGUAGUAUCGACAAUCAAAUCGAACCACAUAAAUAAUAUCCAGUAAUCUUUAUCAUUUCUGGUCGAUAUCUUUGGUAAUUCCUUUUCCUUGUGUUAGAUUCAAAUUGCAAGGCUUGUCAAUUGCCACGCUGUUUCACUACAUUAGUUGUGUGGACCAGUAAGUAUAUUUUUCAUAGUUGAUGAUUGUUAGGGGAGGAAGACUGAAUUAUUUAACGUAGACUAGAUUAUGUUGAUGCAAAAACCAUAUAGAACUUUGAGUAACUAAAGAAAACUACUAGAAUUCUGGGGACCAUGACAAAAUCUACUUUCUUCUUCCAUGAUUUCACACCUUACCUUUCAAUUCCAACAUUAAAGUCCAAUGUUCAAAUGCAACAGAUUAUGCUAUGCAUACAGACACUUCCACCAAGUCAAGCAUUGCUUUUGGACUGUAAGAAAAGCAUGUACCACGUACAAGUUAAAAAAGGAUGAAAAGGAAUAUAUAGGAAGAGAAGUAGAAUAAUUAGAUAUCAAGAGUUUGAUGAGAGGGGAAGAUUGUGCAGGAAUUAUCUAGUGCAAUCUUCAUUGAGAUUGCGAUAUUGUGAGGUAACACUUGUAAGUUUUAUCUUGGGUGUAAUUUAAAAUGGGAAAACACUUAAACAAUUGUAAACUCUGUAUUCAUUGGAUUCAUAAUGGAUUUCUAAAAUACUAGCUCUCCCCUUGGAACAGGUAGCAACACUCAGACCAAAUUACAUAAAACUCUAGUGUUUUUUUUUUUUUUUUUAUCGUUUCUUGUUAAUUUCUCUUGUAAUUUUGUCUUCUCAUGGUAGAACUUGUGGUUACAUGUCAUGACAAGUGGCUAGUUUGGUCAAACUGCUCUUAUUGGUCUAUAAACCUUUGAGUUAGUGGUUCCAUGGGAAAAUUACCAAAAAAAUCCUAAACUUAUUACAAUUGUGUCAAUUUAGUAUUAUUUUUUUUUUGGCCAAUUCAAUCCUAAACCUUUGGCAAUUACGCCAAUUUAGUCUGUCUUGCCAAUUUUAGGCGAUUGGUACCGACGUGAACACUAGCCGACACUAACAUCAACAACUUUUAAUAUUAUUUUAUUUUUAUUUUUAUUUUUAUUUUUAUUUUAUUUUUUUAUUUUUUUAUUUUAUUUUAUUUUAUUUUUUUAUUUUUUUAUUUUUUUCCUCUUCUUCCUCCUUUUCCUUUUUCCCCCACAAUGGCUAGGUGAGGCCUUGGGAUCGUGACCUAGCUGGCUUUGCCCAGAUAUGGGGGAAGCCACCUUGCCCACAUGUCCCUAACCUCGCCAUGGGGAAGAAGGAAAGGAGAAAAAAAGGAAAAGGAAAAAUAAAAUAAAAUAAAAUAUUAUUAAAAUUUGUUCAUGUCAAUGUCGCCCAAACAGCCGGUGCUAGCUAACGUCCAUUUCACCAAGUGUCGACCAACGUCUACGUUAGCACUGUUUGCCUAAAAUUGGCGGGAUUGACUAAAUUGCCAUAAUUGCAAAAAGUUUAUGACUAAAUUGGCAAAAAAAAAAAAUGUUUAGAACUACAUUGACACAAUUAGAAUAGGUUUAGAACUUUUUAGUAAUUCUCCCGUAAUUCCAUUGUUGCCUCUUCUAAUAGGAUGACUUUUGAGUGGAGGUAUUUUCAAUGUAUUGCUAAUUGGAUUUACCCAACUCAUCACCUAUAUAUAUCAUGUACCGUUAGCCAUACCUGUUGAGAACCACAUAUGAUCAACCGUCCAGAUGAGCUUGGCGUGCUACAUACGACAUCAAGAAGAGAAUCAAGUAAAGUCAUUGUGGAAUGAUCAAUCAAAAAGUGGGAACAAUUAAAGCAAAUCAAACUUUCUUUUUGUGCACAAAUAUAAUGUGAAAAGUCCUUUGAAAAAGCUAGACUUCUACAUCCAACAACUCAAUCAACGGAAUACCACGGUCCAUAGUGGUAAACUCUUUAUCGAGCAAUUUAGAAUUCAAAUUUUAGGAUAAUGUCGUCCAUGUAUCUAAUAAAGCUACAUUACCAUGAAUCGAUCAAUGAAAACAAGGGGACCUAGAGACGCAAAACUGACAUUGAUGCCAGAAGACCCAAAAAUCAAACAAAAAAGAAAAUUUAAAAAAAAAAAAAAGGUAAUGACCUACUGAUGAAAAAUCAAGUCAAGUCGACCACUUUUCUAGUAGCUUUGGAAUCGUGUUUCAUGCAAUAUGUACACGGGGAAUUUGUCCAAUCUUCUUCCAUUGCCGUGUUUCACUUGAGUGGAGGAAUCUUUUCAUAAAUCACUAUCAUUUCUAGUGGGGACGGGACUUUAAUGUCACUUUUUCUUCCAUCACAUCUCCUGUCCUUGACGGAUCUCGUACAAUCUUCAGAGAAUUUCUCGAUGAUGGCUUACUGAUUUACGAUAACGAUUUCUACAUAAAAGCAGAAACGAAGUAUAGCUCAAAACAGCAUUAGCAUUUCCAAAAAAGAAGAAUAAACUCGAAGAUAGGUCUUCCUUGUGCAUUUCUAGAGUUUCAUGCUUUUUUGGCAAUGAAUUCAUAGUAUUUUAAUGCAGGUUGGGAUUGUAUAUUGGUAAUAUUAUGUUUUUGUGUACUUGACUUUCAUCCCGGUCCUUGCUCUAAAAGAGACUAACAAGUCUUUGCAAAUAAAGGACUACAUGUAUUAGAUAUAUCAUGAGCAUUGCACAAAUUAAUGAAAAGUAUUAUGGUAGUGGGCCAAGGAGAAUGGAAUUAAUGGUUAAGUCCUCCACUGAUGUCAAGGGUCUGUCCUCAUUGGGAAUUUGCCCCGUCUUCUUCAAUGCCGUGUUUCACUAAGUGAAGGAAUCUUCUCCAAAAUCACCAUCUCUUCAAGUGGGCGUGAACUUUUGUGUCACUUUCUCUUCUAUCCCAUCUUCCAUCACUAGCAGAUCUCUUCCAUCCCAUCUUCACGAUUCUUAUUAUCAAAACCUCACAUAUGUUAAAAUUCCAAUUAUUUUAGAGUUCAUGGCUAUGAAGUCCUACUUUGGUAUCAUUCUUAUCACGAAUAACAUAUGAUACCCAUUUGAACAAAGCAAUUUUCCCUAUUUUGCAAAUAAAUUAUAUUAAAAUUACAAAAAAAUUAUAUUGCAUGAUAUUAUAGCCCCAUAUUAAACAAACAAGCUAUAUGAAAUUAUCUAAAUUAGAUCAUAACACAUAUUUCAUGUACAAAUGGAAAUUAGAAAAUUAAUAAUAAAUUAUCUACUAACACAAACAAUCUAUUGAAGAAAACAAUUAACUUAGAAGGGUUUUGUAACAUGAUAGUGCAUGUUCAGUAAAUAUAGGAUGUUAAAAAAUAGUUUUAAAAAAAUUAAAUAACGUGAUACUUUCUAUGUACUAAAGACAUGACAUUAGAGGAUCAAUAGAAAAUUUUGAUUAUGCAUGACUUUUUUAUAUUAUGAGAUCAAUAAAAUAAAAGCUGUCAAAUAAAACAAGAUGUUAAUACCCUAAAAAACCCCAAAUCGAUACAAUUGUCAUAAAUUUAUCCAAAACUAAUUUUUUCACCAUGAAAAACACCAAACUAGUAUACCUGUGACAAAUUUACCUAAAACUAAGCUGGUAUAUUUGUGACAAAUAUACCCUUUGUGAAAUUGGAUUAAUACCAUAAAAAAAUCACAAAAAUGGUAUAAUUGUGACAAAUGAAGAACAAAAUUUUAAAAUGGUAUACUAGUCAACUCUCAUAUAUCAUCCAACUCAACCAUAUAAUGGUAAAAUUUAAAGGAAAUUAAUAGAGAGUAAAUUUGUUACAAGUGUAUCAAUUUGGGGUAAAUUUGUUAAUUGUGUACCAAUUUUGGGUUUUUGAUAGUUACAAAAUUAGUUUAUGGUAAAUUUAUUAUAAGUGUACCAAUUUAGAGUUUUUGAGAGUAUUAACCCCAAAACAAAAGAACCUGUCUUUACAAAAUAACUUAUUGUAUAGCGUUGAAGGGUCAUAUCACAUGAUUGUGCAUAUUUGACGAAUAAACAUGAAUGAAAAUUUGAUGACCCUUCCAACUAAAUGCAUAAUCAGUGAUAACUCUUAUCACUUUGCAAUUAGUAUAAUUGUGAAAGGAGUUGAAUAAUAUAUAGAUACACAUACAAAAAUACUUUCACAAAUAAAUUAUAUUAGUCUAUUAUUAAAAAGAACUAUAUAUAAAAUGAUAGCUCAUAUUUGAUGAAUAAAUGAUAUUAGAGGAUUAUUAAGAAAUUACUUGUCAAUUUUACAAAUAAAUGAGUACUAGGAAAUCAACAAAAAAGUUCUAGCAAAUAGAAAAAUAUAAUUUCGUAAGGCUUAUAGACCAUCAUUUCAUAAUGUUUAUAGUGGAAGAAAAUAUAUAUUUAUAUAUUACGCUUCCGUAUUUCAUACACAUUAUCACCAAAUGAGUCUUAUUAUUAAAUAGAUAAUCAGAGAUUACUCUAAUGAGAUCAUUUUUUAAAAUAUUUUUUAAGUUGGACUAAAAUAACGAUAAGAACAUUAUCAAUCCUAAAAAAAAAUAUUAAUUAAACAUAUCUUACAAAUGAGUGAAUAUCAUGAAAUGAUAAAAUUGAAUUGAAAGUUUUUGAGAGCAUGUGAAGAGAUGAUUUGGAUGAGUCUCAGUAAAAUUGUCGAAUAGAAAGUUUCAGAGAGUCUAUCUUAUCAAAAUAAACAAAUUCUACAGAAGGGCCUAUACUUAUGAAAUUAUAAUAAGCGUGUCAAAAAUUAUAGCACUUUUGAGUUUUGAUGAACACUUCUUUUUAUCGCGCAAAGCCAAAGUGGCAUUCCCUUUUCGUCGUGAAAAGCCAAAGCAAUGUUGUCACACUUCUAGACCCAUACAGGCUGCAAGCCCUCGGAGCUUCAUCUCAAAAGACAAUAAACUAUCUUUCAAAGGGGAGGCCCUAGCCUUCAAUUAUUGUUCAAGUUGUGAUUUUGAAUUGUGGCACGUAGUUGGUGCAAUCCAUAUCAUUAACUUGUAUGUUUGUGUUUUCCAAAAAGAGAGAAAAAAAAAGAAAUUUUAAAAAUCAUUUAAAUUUUAGUAAACAUGAAAAACUAUAUGUGAAUGAACAUGACAAUAUUUGUAUGUUUUGAAACUUUCAUGUGCUCCUAGUUAAUAAACGGUCAGAUUUGGAUUAACUUAAAAAUAAAUAAAAAAAUAGAAUCUAUCCACUCAUGUACGAAGUGGACUAGGCUGUAAAGUUAAUACAAGCCAAUAUGAAUUAAUCGUCAGUAUUAGAACAACUGAAUAAAUUCCUGAGUAGAUAUAAACCGAUAAAAUGGACCUGAGUAGGUCCUUAAACUACUUAAAGAAACCAGAUAGACAGGAGAACCGUCCUGGGGUGAGAAACCCUGCUCUGUUUGGGACCUGUAUUCCCCACCAGUCGGAAGACAAAUAUCGGCUAGGUGUAGGGAGAGUCAGAGCCGUGUCCCCAAGGCAUUAUAUUGGGAGAAACUAGGCAGCCCAUUGUCACUGUAUAUCAAACGGACAGGCAUUGGUAGACCUAGUUGGGGAGGCUAGACCUCCUCCUACUCUUAGUGGAGGUGUUAUAGGCUUAAACCAAACCCAUAGCACUGAAGAAGCUAAGGCCAACUCCGGUUUAGAAAUGUUAUGCCUUUUUCAUGAUUUGACGAUUUCCAUUUUGGAUUUAUUCACGAGAGUCUUAACUUUUUCUUAUAGAAAGAAUAAGAAAUCUGUUCAUUUCAUUCUCCAAAAUUUGGAAACUCUUUUACUAGUAUCCGUAGAGUUAUAGAGAUGUGUAGGAAACAAUUUCUUCCAUAAUUAUCUUUUAUUAUUUUUUGAUAUGUAAUAUAUAUAUAAAAAAUUACUUAAGCAACAAAUAGAGGGUAAUGAGAAUUUAUUAAAAGAAAUAUCAAUCAAGGAUGAAAAAGUUGCCAAAGUGAAACGCAAAAGCUCGCCGAUAGCCUGAAUUUGAGCCUGAUAUACAUGGAUAAAAUAUGGGGCACAUGGGUGGAAUAAACCCAGAUUGGAUAAAAAAUUAAAUUAAAAAAAUUAAAAUUUAAAAAGAAAAGAAAAACCCAAAAAAAAAAAAAAAAAACAACAACAACAACAACAAUUUUUGCUGUCUUCCAAUAUUGGAGUGAUGGAGUAAGGCAUAUGACAAACAUAGUGAAAAACCCACAAUUCUUGACAUUCCAUGCAGAUGUCUCUCUGCUCUCCAGUUGAGCAAUUGAUCCACCGAGGAAUCGUUAGUCUUUUCAAGUCCCUCAUGUUCACAUUGGAUGAUUGUGAUUUCGCACCUCCACGCGGUUCAAUUAUCCGAAAUGGGGAAUCAAUUGAAACCGACAUUUUCACUGGCCCCUCAUCCACCACCCGACCAAUUUGGCCAUCAUGACCAUUCACACCUAUUUGUUUGGCCAUCAUGACCAUUCACACCUAUUUGUUUCUCCUGAUUUAACCUCGUCAUCUGCUCCUCCUUUGUUGCUAUUUUUCGCUAUCGUCAACGACAAUUUCCACCGCGUGAUUGUCGCCGCUGUCGAGACGCAAAGAGAUGUGGCCAGGAGGAGGGAGGGGGAGAGGGAUGGGGCCAGUGAUUGACGCACGAUAGAGGGGGCAAUUGUUGCGCGGGAGACGUGGCUAAGAUCCGGAGUGCGGUUUGGUUCGCUGAAGGGCCCACGAGAGAGGAGCUUCCGGUGGCUAUGGCCGUUACCAAAACAGUGAUGCAUUGAAAGAUUUUAAGAGAUUUUCGGAGGACUUUCAGAGAUUUUUAAAGAUUCUCAAUUCUAUUUUAAGUGGCGCUAAACAUAAGAGGUAAUUUUUUUCAAUAGGAUUCCUAAUCCUACUUUGUCUUAUCCUAUUCUAAUUCAAAUCUGGACAAUCAAACAUAGCUAAAAUGAUCUAAUUUUUUUAAUUGCGGUUUUAGGCUUAUAUUCCAUUUUGAUCUCCCUUCUUCGACGUAGGACUUCACUCACCUCCAGCCAAACAUUACCAUGAGCACAAUGGUAGUUAAUUCACUCACGCCACUCUCACUCAAGCAUGCGGUAGGCUUUGAUUUAUAAUAUUUUAUUGAGCUUUUGAUUUUUUAUUUAUUUAUAUCAAGACUAAAUUAAUCAAAAAGACUAAAUUGGUAAACCAUCGAAGAGUUAAGGACUAAAUUGAAAUAAUUAAAAGGUUUAUGACUAAAUUGACAAAUUAUCAAAAAAUUUAUAACUAAAUUGACACAUUUAAAAAAUUUAAGGUGGAAUUGUUGUACAAUAGAUUUAAAAAUUUUCAAAUAAUUUUUUGAAAGUUGGAUCUCACACGUUAUAUGUUAAAUUACGUGAAGUCAACUAAAGGAUCGCCAUCGCUAAAGGCUAGAAAAGAAAGAUGACAUGGGAUCAAAAUAGAGAUUGCACAUGGCCUGCGCAACGUCAUAUCAUAGUUGAAUUGGCGUGUUGACUAUGACCUUUGUCUUCAAUCAUUUCUCUAAUUCAUGAAUUCUGAAACGGAAGGAGACUAAUGAUCAUAGAGUAGCUGAUCAAUUUAACGAACUUUUUUUCCAACGGUGUUAAUUGAAAAUAUACCAAAUAAUCAUUGGACAAGGGAUAUUUAUCUGCAACUUUAUGAAACAUAAGUGCCUCCGUAAUUUUUGCUUACAUACAUGGUGUCGUCCCAAAUAAUUGCCUCGGCAAAUACAACGGAGGAGAGUUAAUGGUUAUAACAAAAUAAAAGUUCAGAAGAUAAUUGCGUAUUAAUUAAAAGUUUAUGGACAAACUUGUAUUACGUCCAAAUUCAGAAAAGUCUUGGGUAAUUUCCCUAGAAUUUAAAUUUUAUCUCGUUCACCGGGAAGAAGUGAUUAUUGACUUGGUUGUGAGGUUGUUGACUCGCUGGUCCAAUUUUUCCUAUAAAUAGGUCGAUUGUACCUGUUCCAUUUCAGCACAUAUUCGCCUAGAAACGAAGAAAAGCCCACCCGAAGUAACCUAAACCUGUCAUGGCCUACGAGAAAAAUAAAGCACAUUUUGUAAAGUGAUGAGGACAUAUAUCAGUCAAUAAAUUUAUAUUACCAAAUCAACGAAAAAAGUUACCAGUGCCGAGGUAUUGCUUCUUCAAGAAAGAUGCGAUAAAUAACCAUAAAGUCAAUUUUCAUCACAAAUAACCAUUGGGAUUCGCCCUAGUGGCCACCCUUCUAACAUGGAAGGGGGAGGUAGGGACGAAUAAGUUUCAGGAGUGGGUUUCGACUCCCACGCCCUGCAAGAGGCAGGACAAAAGUCUGAGGGUGAGUGUAGAGUAAGCAUAGAGUAGGACUGACAAAAAAAAAAAAUUCAUCACAAAUGUUGCUUCGCCAAGAAAUAUCAAAUAAAUUGGUAUUUGUUCAGACUUAUUGAAGGAAAAAUAAAGCACAUUUUGUAAAGCAAUGAUGACAAAUAUUAGUCAAUAUUAAGUGUAUCUCAUAAUUAACUUGAAGUGACAAUUAACGUUGGAUUGGCAACCGACUUUUAAGAAAAUACAAAACAUAUAGUGUUAGACCCGUGUAAUGCUCGGCGAUCUUGCUAAUAUAUAAUAAAAUGAGAAUACCAUAACUUUCCUCCAUUGACAUCAAGUCGCAAAGGUAAGGGAAUCGGUUGAAGUCCUUUAUGUGCCGUGUUUUUCCGAGCAGAGAGAAUCUUCUCUAAAAAUACAAUAUUCAAUUUCACUGGGGUAGCCCUUCUUGACUUGAACGGGAGUUUCUAGUUGCAUUUCUGGAAUUUCAUCAAGCAAUAGUGCUUUUUGUUUUCCGGGCGUAGAUAUAUUAGUUUAGUUUUCCCCCCUUUUUUAUCAUUGUUACAUCCCAGUCGUUGCUCUAAAAUGACCUAUAAAUCUUUGCAAAUUAACAAAACAAGUUGUAACGUGAGUUGUGUGGACCAAUAAGUGAUAUUUUUCUUGGGCAAUGAUUGCAGAGAAAAGAAUUGCGCAUGCAUGGCAUUAAAGCAGAGAUGUUUGUUACGUUAAGAGAGAGAAAGCAACAAGAAAUUGGAAGUCAUUUCAAGAAGACGAUGGUGGAGGUAAAAAGGGCUAUGAUGGGUCAAAAUCAGUUUUUCCAAAAAGAUAAGAGAAACUGUGAGAAAGCUAAGCAUUGCUUUAGACUUUUAGAGAAAGUGAUUAAUAGUGUCUCUAUCUCUUUCUCCCUUUUCCGCCAUCAAUUGUGGAUUGAUACGUGUCUCAAGGAUCAUUAUGAAUCCUCCACCGGGGUGCUCAACAAAAAGAUAAAAGGCCAAAAGGGGAAGAUAAGUUUGGACCUGAGCAGGUCCUUAAACUGCUCCACCCUGAAUCAGAUAUCCUAGGGUGCCCAAUUAGCCCCAUUUACAGGAGAUUUAACUGGGAUUACGAGAUAAAGUCCCUAUUGGGCUUCCCCGCCAACCCCUCCAAAGGGAGGAGAGCCCACCUCGGAUCCCCGUGAAGCCCUUCUCCUAGCAUACUAGGCUAGGUUCGGGGAAAUGAAGAGGCCCGGGUAGACCCCCACCGUGAGCGGGCUACCCGGGGUGGCGGCGACGACGUCAAAAAGUUUUUUCCGUCCACAUUAAAAGGGAAAAAUCAUGUAGGAAUUUCCUAUUGCAGACAUGUUGGAACUAAAUAUGAGAUAACACUUAUGGUUUUAUUCUAUAUAAUUUAGGUUUUAUUCUGUUGAGUAAUAUCAACAUUAAGACCAAAUCACGUAAAUCUCUGAUAUUUUUUUUUUAUCAUUUUUCAUCAAUUUCUUUAGUGAUUCCUUCUUCUUGUGUUAAAUUUGAAUGGCAAUAUUCGUCAAUUUUCACAUUGUUUCACUACAUGAGUUGUGUGGAUCGAUAAGUAUAUAUUUCAUAAUUGAUGACUGUUAAUUGGUAAGUCCAUAAGUAUAAUAAGAACGAGAGGGGAGGAAGACUAAAUUAUUUAACGUAGACUAGAUUAUUUUGAUGGAAAAACCAUAUAGAACUUUGAGUAAUUAAAGAAAACUACUAGAAUUCCGGCGACCAUGACAAAAGUCACUUUCUUCUUUCUUAAUUUCACACUUUACCUUUCAAUUCCAUCAUAAAAGUCCAGUGUCCAAAUGCAAUGGAUUAUGCUAAGCAUACAGAAACUUCGACGAAGCUAAGUAUUGCUUUUGGACUUUAAGAUAAGUAUGUACCAUGUAAAAGUUAAAAAGGAUACAAAGGAAAAAAAAAUAGGAAGAGAAGUAGAAUGAUUAGAUGUCGAGAGUUUGACAAGAGAGAAAAAUUGUGAAGGAAUUAUCUAGUGCAGUCUGCAUUGAAUGUGAUAUUAUUGUCCAAAGCGGACAAUAUGUGUACCUUGGAGACCUAGGAUAUUACAAGUGGUAUCAGAACCGAUUCUCAACCGUGUGUGGGGCCAUAGCAAUGAUGUGUGCUCCUAAGGGGUGGAGAGUGUGACAGCCCAAGCGGCGAUGCGCAGGAAUGAGGGAUGGCGGUGCAUCCACGUCUCGGUUCCCGGACAUGCAUAAGGAGGGGUAUGUCUCUUGUCCCACAUCGUUUAGGAAGGGAGUUCUGGGCUAUCUUAUAAGGUAAUGUGAUCUCUAAUUGUAUACACUUGUUUUCUUGGGAUAGUAUGGGUUGUCCUAAAAAGAACAAAACCAUGAGAACUUAGCGUCCAAAGUGGACAAUAUAUAUAGUGUUACACUAUGUGCCUUGUACAUGCUAACGGAAAAUAUUAUGGAGGAUUAAUGGUUGUAACAAAAAGAAAAUUUAAUUCAUUUAAUCUCUUAACUUCACCAAAAAAAAAAUUAAUUCAUUUAAUGUUGCAAAAACUCAGUUCAGAAAAUGCUUUAAAAAGGGGAUUUGUUAGCAUCAACCGACAAAUUCAGGAACACUUGUCAUGAAAAUCAUUUAAAUAUCAAAGGACAAGGUGAUGGAGCAGCGAUUUAGAUUGAUAUUUCGUUAAAAUGGGCAACUAAUUACGCCGAAAAAAUAUGAAAAUUAGAAAAGGGCCAACAAUGGUAAACGAAAGUGAGAUCUAACCUGUUAUAUGUACCACGUGAAGUCACGGAAAGGAUCGCUGUCGCUUAAGGCUAGACAAGAAAGACAACAUGGGUUCAAAAUAGAGAUAGGGUCUACCAAUAAUUGUAUUGGCGUGUUGACCACGGCCUUUGCCUUCAAGUUCAUAUAUUAUUCAUACUAGGGGAUAUACGGAUUUUAUAGUUGAUAAUUUUACCAACCUUUUUUUUUCUGACAGAGCAAAACGAAAAUAUACCAACUAAUUAUUGGACAUGUCACUUUUGUGCUUGAGAGUUAGGUAUGUAAUCAAAUAAGCCAAAAAGAGUCAGCUUCGUACUCUACGUAACUAAGAAAAAUGCACGCCAGUCAUUCAAUGUCACUGACAAGGGAUGUUUAUUUGCAAAUUUUUGUAACACAAGUGCCUCGUUAACUUUGAUAUGUCACAGACAUAGUGUUGCACCAAAGAAUUGCCUCGGAAAAUAUAACGGAGGGAUAAUGACCAUAGCAAAAUAAAAGUUCCAAAGAUAAUUGACUUGGUUGUUGACUUAUGGUCCCCAUUUCUUCUAUAAAUACGUUGGAUGUCCAUUUCAACACAUAUGCACCUAGAAAAUAAGAAGGCCCACCCAAAAAUACCCCAAACCUGUCAUGGCCUCCGAGAAACAACUCUCAAUGUUGUCCCUCGCUUGUGUCGUUCUCAUGCUCGUGCAAGAAAUGUCUUGUCUUGCUUCAACACGAAGCUCUUCUAAAAUGGAAGUGGAGGCACUCCUAAAAUGGAAGUCUAGGCUAGACAACAAGAGCCACUCUACUUUGUCUUCGUGGAACGGAAGCAGCCCUUGCUCAUGGCGCGGAAUCAUUUGUGAUUCUUUCGGGAGUGUUGCCAGCUUGAACCUUUCGCAUUCUGCCAUAGACGGUACGCUUCAACAUCUCAAUUUCUCCCAUUUACCCAACUUGGUCGUCCUUGAGCUUACCAACAACUCACUCUUCGGAAACAUCCCUCCGAGCAUUGGCGAUCUUUCCAAGCUUACUUAUAUUAACUGUUCUCAAAAUAGCUUUUCGGGAAACAUUCCAACUCAACUUGGGUCAUUGCGCUCUUUACAAAUUCUCGUGUUUAAUGAUAAUAAGUUCACCGGUCCAAUUCCUUCUUCCAUGGGAAACAUGAGCAGCUUGUGGAACUUGGAUCUUUCAAGUAAUGAUCUCAACGGAUCCAUCCCUACAGCUCUAGGAAAUCUGAGUACAUUACAAUAUCUUUUCCUCUAUGGCAACCAACUUUCUGGGCCCAUACCUUUAGAAAUUGGAGGAAUGAGAUCCCUAACCAAAUUGCAACUUUUAGGCAAUAAUUUAACAGGUCCUAUCCCGUCAUCCAUAGGCAACUUGACCAAUCUAUCUGAUCUUCGCCUUUUCAAAAAUAUGUUAUCGGGUCCUAUCCCAUCCUCCAUAGGUAAGUUAAUUAAUUUGAAUCAUCUUUCCCUUUAUCAAAAUAUGUUAUCGGGUCCGAUCCCAUCCUCCAUAGGUAAGUUAAUUAAUUUGAAUUAUCUUUCCUUUUAUCAAAAUAUGUUAUCAGGUCCUAUCCCAUCCUCCAUAGGUAAGUUAAUUAAUUUGAAUCAUCUUUCCCUUUAUCAAAAUAUGUUAUCGGGUCCUAUCCCAUCAUCCAUAGGCAACUUGACCAAUCUAUCUUACCUUCUCCUUUUCCAAAAUAUGUUAUCGGGUCCUAUCCCAUCCUCCAUAGGCAACUUGACCAAUCUAUCUUACCUUGACCUUAUCGAAAAUAUGUUAUCGGGUCUUAUCCCAUCCUCCAUAGGUAAGUUAAUUAAUUUGAAAAGUCUUUCCCUUUUCCGAAAUGAAAUGUCAGGCUUUCUUCCCACCGAGAUGAAUAAUCUCACAUCCUUCACAGUCUUACAGCUAAGUGAUAACAAGUUUGUUGGCCAAUUGCCACCAGAAAUAUGCGGUAAGCAAGCUCUUGUGUAUUUUUCCGCAGCAAACAAUCACUUCACUGGACCCAUCCCAAGAAGCCUGAAAAAUUGUUCAAGUUUGUAUAGAGUUAGGCUCCAAAACAACUUGCUCAAGGGAGAUAUAACCGAUGCUCUUGGUGUGUACCCCUCCUUAAAUUACCUUGAGUUGAGCAACAAUGAACUUUACGGUGAGCUACCACCAACAUUAAGUCAAUGUAGAAAUUUGACGAGCUUUGAGAUCUCCAACAAUAAAAUCUCCGGUGCCAUACCACCUCAGCUCGGAAACAUGACUCAAUUGCAAAGACUUGACCUCUCUUCAAAUGACAUCAUCGGGGAAAUUCCUAAAGACCUAGGAAAACUGAAGUUGCUGCAAGAGCUUUUUUUGGACUACAACCUUCUUGUAGGACACAUCCCUCAAGAACUUGGAGCAUUGUCUAAUCUAGAGAAACUCAACAUUGCAAAAAACAACUUGAGUGGCUCAAUUCCUACCCAACUUGGGGAGAACUCCAACCUUUUGUUCUUAAAUUUAAGCGGGAAUAAUCUUGAAAAGAGUAUUCCCAUCGAGAUUGGGAAUCUUCAAUAUCUUCAAUAUCUUCAACAUCUCGAUCUGAGUCGAAAUUUGCUCACGGGAGAAAUACCCAAACAAUUCGGGCUAUUGCACAUAUUAGAAAUACUCAAUCUCUCACACAAUCAACUAUCCGGUUCAAUUAUGUCGACCUUUCGUGAUAUGACAAGCUUGACAUCCAUCGACAUAUCGUAUAAUGAGUUAGAGGGUCCUUUACCAAACAUUCCAGCCUUUCGCAACGCUACAAUUGGAGUCGUGAGAGGAAACAAAGGCUUCUGUGGAGUUAUUACUGGUCUCAACCCCUGUACAGCAACAACGUUAAAAGGCAAAAACAAAAACAAAAAGUUGUUUUUGGUUUUGAUUCCUACUUUGGGUUGCCUACUUUCUUUACUUCUUGUUGUGGGAGCUUUAAGUAUUGGAUGCCGAAGAAUAAGGAAAACAAAUGCUAGUUCAGCUGAUGAAAGCAAUGAAAACCCAUGGGCAAUAUGGAGCUUUGAUGGAAGAAUGAUUUAUGAGAGCAUUAUUGAAGCCACAGAGGAGUUUGAUGCCAAAUAUUGUAUUGGUGAGGGAGGAUAUGGGAGGGUUUACAAGGUCCAGUUGCAAACAGGUGAAACUAUUGUUGUAAAGAAACUUAAGGAAGUAGUUGACGUAGAAAUGGCCGGUCAAAAAGCAUUUGAAAGGGAGAUUCAUGCUCUGACCGAAACUCGGCAUCGAAAUAUCAUCAAGCUCUAUGGAUUUUGCUCGAGUUCUCGACAUUCAUUUUUGGUGUACGAGUUCUUGGAAUCAGGCAGCUUGAAGGAUGUAUUGAACAAUGAAGAGAGGAUCGCAACAUUUGAUUGGAAUAAAAGAGUGAAUGUUGUUAAAGGUGUGGCCUAUGCUUUGUCCUACAUGCACCAUGAAUGCUCACCCCCAAUAAUUCAUCGAGACGUAUCAAGCAAGAACGUUUUAUUGGAUAAAGAAUAUGAAGCUCACGUCUCUGAUUUUGGCACAGCUAAAGUUCUACAACCUUAUUCAUCCAAUUGGACUUCCUUUGUAGGCACCUUUGGAUAUGCAGCUCCAGGUAAGUUGGUCUCUUCAAAAUUUUACCCCACUUCAUUUUAUAGAUAGGAAAAUGAUCAUACAUGAGAUCCUCGUUUUUUAGCUCCCUUCCUUUUACACUUGUAAAUUCCUAACAACAAGUCCAAGGCUAUCAUGCGAUUUAAAGGUUCGAUUAAAGAUUAAUUGAGAUGAAGGCCACCAAUUUUAAAACUGAAACUUUUUUCCUAAAGAAACGGAAAAUUUUAAAUCUCAUUGGAAUAUAAAGAAUGUAUUGAUUUAUACUUAAUUCUCUAGAUUUUAUUACUCAAAAUCAGUUUAGAUUUACAAAGCACGGAUAUUGCAUAAAAGCUAGAAAAAAAAUUGCUAUUUUCUCUCUGCAGAACUCGCAUACACAAUGGAAGUGAAUGAGCAAUGCGAUAUUUACAGCUUCGGAGUGGUAACAUUGGAAGUAAUUAUGGGAUGCCAUCCAGGCGAUCUCAUUUUUUCUCUCAUGUCCACAUCUUCAUCACCAUCAAGCAAUUCAAUAAUUUCUUGGCCAAUGAAGGAAGUUUUAGAUCAAAGAGUUCCAUUCCCCAAAGGUAAGGUGUUAGGCGAAGUGGCUUUGGUGACAAAGAUGGCAUUUUUGUGCUUAAAUCCCAAACCAGAGUAUCGUCCAACCAUGCAACAAGUUUCUCGGGCAAUAUCAUCGCAAAGCUCGAUCAUGUUAAGCCUAUCAAAGGACAUCAAAUUGGAAGAACUAAUUGAUCCUAAAUGCUUCACUUAUUGAGAUACUUCAGUCUUUCUAUUGUGUAGCAAGCCAUCUCCUAUACUUUAUUAUCUUGGUUAAUUCCAUUAUCAAUUUCUGUAAUGGUUCGUUGGUUACUUGAAAGCACUUGGGAAUUACUGUCAUUUGCAAUUCCAUCUCGGAAUUGAUGACCUACAGUUGGGACGUCCAAUCCUUAAGAAUAGCUUUAAAGAUAAUAAGAUCAUGAUAUUUUUUUAUAAAUAUUACAUUUGUUUGUUACAAUUUGGCUUGUCACGUAGAAUCCUAAACAUUGACGGUGGAAAAUGUGUUAAAUUCAAAAACAAGCACAAUUGGUGUAUGUUGGCAUCUAGUUUUUGAAGUUUGGUUCAACUAUUUUAGUUGAAUGCACACCAACAUCAAAAGUUAAGAAAAUAUGAAGUGCAGAUCAGAGUAUGAUUUUCUUAGAUUAAAUUAUAUGAGUAACUUUACAUCCUUUGAAAAAGGGAGAAUCAAUUUUAAUGAGGAUUAUUUUUAGAAAUUAGUAUCUCAGAAUUUCUAAAACUCAUCAUAAAAAUAAAAGUGAGUCUUAAAAUAUUUAAAAAGCACAUUCGAGUUAUAAAACUUCUGAAAUUGGUGUAAUAUACUCCAUUCAUAAGUUCCGCCUACUUUUCCCAAUGAGAAAUGCUAACGUAUCAUAUAUUUUUUUAAUUCUUUAAAGUGCGUGGCACAAAUGUGGCACCAACUAGUUGUAAAAAAACUUGCAAAAUUGAAAGUAUUAAGGAAAAAUGAUAAAUAAGUAAAACAAAAAUGUUAAUAAAAAAGCCAAAGCAAGGGCUACUGCCCUUGCCUGAACUUUGCCGAUUUCAAAACCCUCGUCCUGACCCGACCGGCCCAUUGACCGGACCCGAAAAUCUUGUCCAAAUCCGGCCCAACGGGCCUGGACGCUGCCGCGUGCCGACGCCUCUCUGUCUGUCGUCUUCCUCCGUGUCCCUCCGGUUUCCACUUCGAGAAAUUGGACGUGGUGCACACGUGGCGCUCGUGCAGCGCCUCCUCGCUUAUUGCUUCCCAUGUUACGUGGCGCGCGUCCUUUCUCUCUCUCUCUCUCUCUCUCCCCUUGAAAGCAGAGGCUGACUUUCUCUGUCUCCGUUUUGUCUCUUCCUUCUUCCUCCUCUCUCGUUUUCGCUUCGACGCGUCCACACAAACCCCCCCACAACCACCCCGAUCUUCCAUUCCCUCAACAAUGUCGACUCUCACCGUCCCGCAGCCAGUGCCCCCUGUAGCCGAUGACUGCGAGCAGCUCCGAAAAGCCUUCGCAGGUUCGCUCUAUCUUCUUCGCGCUGCCUCCUCCGAUUCUCUUAUCGCGUGUUGUUCGGUCGCCGAUGGUCUUGCUCCGUUCUUAGUGUUCGGAUCUGCGAUCUGCUUGGAGAUCGCGGUCUGAUCGGAGUGAUCUUUCGGUGGAUCGGUUGUUAAGAUCGAGCUAUUUCUGGGUUUAUUAUUUCUCUUGAAUUCGGAAAAAAAAAAAAAAUCAAAGCUUAUUGUCUAAUUCAAUCUUUUCUCUUCGUUGGAUGAUUAUCAUGUACGAUCUGGAAGGAUGGGGAACAAAUGAGAAGUUGAUCAUAUCCAUAUUGGGUCAUAGGAAUGCGGCGCAGAGGAAGCUGAUUCGGCAAACCUAUGCCGAGACUUACGGCGAGGACCUCCUCAAGGCAUUGGACAGAGAACUUACCAAUGAUUUUGAGGUCUGAUCUUCUUUAAUUAUUUGUAUUCAUCCCAUGGAGACGCGUCCCUCUUUCUCUCAGAUUAAUCCAUAUUCAUUCCGUAUCGUCAGAGGCUGGUGGUCCUUUGGUCGCUUGAUCCGGCUGAACGUGAUGCGUACUUGGCGAAUGAAGCGACGAAAAGAUGGACUUCAAGCAACCAGGUUCUCAUGGAAAUAGCCUGCACGAGGUCUCCACAGCAGUUGCUCAUGGCAAGACAAGCAUAUCAUGCUCGAUACAAGAAGUCGCUGGAAGAGGACGUCGCUCACCACACAACUGGAGAUUUUCGUAAGGUACUGCUUUUACGCUUGCCUCAUGUUGUUCCAUGACAUUUCCCAACGCUGAUGGUUGUUCUUCCGAGCAACUUAGGUUCGUACAUUUUGCAAUAAGUACUCUGUACAAUCAAGUCUAUGUAGCGUUGUGAUACUCAGAAUAAUUUCUUAUUCCUGUCUGGAAAAUAUUCUUUGUCAUUGAUGAAGGCAAGUAAACUCAAAUGUGUCUCUGAUUCAGCAUAUUACAGAAAGUUUGAGAAUAUAAGUUGUCAGGUGUUCAAUUUUUAAGACAGUUUUGGAGUUUUGCAGAGAAUGCUUGUUGGAAUGGUGGUGGGCUUUGGAGCAGUUCCUCAUAUUUUGAUCUGUCAAUUUAUUAAAGAUGGUUUCAUGAAACUCUAGAGACCAUAUACGCUACUUCAUUGGACCUCUUUCUAUUGUGUCAAAUGAAUAACCAAGUCCAUCAUCAAAAGAUUAGUCCUAUGACAACCUGUGAAAUAAUUCUCAUCUAUCCUAAAUCAUUUCAAUUUUCAUUAGGUGUUGAUGUAAGUAAUUUCCUUGCCUGUAGGGAAAGAACUUUAAUUGAUAUGGUUUCUUUGUCUCCUAGUUGCUGGUACCUCUUGUGAGCUCCUACCAUUAUGAUGGAGAUGAGGUGAAUAUGACUUUGGCAAAAGCAGAGGCUAAGAUACUCCACGAGAAGAUCUCAGAGAAGGCUUAUGGCAUCUCAUAAGGAUUUUGGCUACUAGGAGCAAAGCACAGGUCAAUGCUACGAUGAAUCACUACAAAAAUGAGUUUGGAAAUGAUAUCAACAAGGUGAGUUGGAAUUUCUAUGAACUGGACCUUUCAAGUUCUUUUUCCUAUAUGUCUAAAGCUUAUAGCUCCUCAAGGAUGAAGAGUGCCAGGGUAGUAUUCUUUUUGGUUAAUAGUCAUGUUGUUAAGAGGCAACUUCAAGAUGUCUUGUUUCAAAAACAUUGAGAUGUGAUAAUAUCACCCAUUUCCGAGUUGUUCAUUCACUUCCAGACUAUAAUGUCUGUACUAUGCAUCAGAACAUAUUGACUUUUCUUUGUUCUAGAUUAAGGAUUGUCUAAUUCUUGAUCCUUCAUGUUCACAGGAUUUGAAAACUGAUCCAAAAGACGAGUUCCUUACUAUACUGAGAGCUACAGUAAAGUGCUUGACUCGCCCUGAGAAGUAUUUUGAGAAGGUUCUUCGUCUAGCCAUCAAUAAGCGAGGAACAGAUGAAGGGGCUCUGACCAGAGUAGUUGCUACCAGGGCCGAGGUUGAAAUGAAGUUUAUAAGUGAGGAGUACCAGAGGAGGAAUAGCAUCCCUCUCGAUCGUGCCAUUGUCAAGGACACUACUGGAGACUAUGAAAAGAUGCUUCUGGCAUUGAUUGGCCACGUCGAGGCUUGAUUUACAAGUACUCGUGAAGCUAUUCCGAUGGAGGCAAUAUCUCUUUUUUUGGUGUGUUUGAGGCGUUUCUAUUUUCCUUGCUUUCCAACAACGUGUGGUUACCAACAUGCCUCCUUGUAGCUAUGCGAAGCAAAUACACUUCUUAUCAUGGCGUUGGUUUAUGUACUUAUGAGAAGUCUUUGAUUUUGAUCUUUAAUCGAGACAGCUAGUAAGUGAUCAUGAAAACUUUCUAUCCCACCUCCUUCCCCUCUCUCUCUCUCUCUCUCCUUGGAGGCGGAGGCCGACUUCCUUUCUCUUGUUUCGUCUCCUUCUUCUUCCUCCUCUCUCUCUCUCGUUCUCACAUCAACGUGAACGCAAAGCCGGUGCUCUCCAUGUUGGAAAAAGUAUUAGAAUAUAUAAAAUAAUAAUAAUUAUUGGAAAUACAUUAUAAAAGAUUAAAAUGAAAUGUUUGAGGCGUGCAAACACUGUCCUUAAGGAUAAUUCCGCCCCUCGGAGUACGAAACUCAAUGUGUAAGUGAUAACUCUAUAAAAAUAGAGUUAUUUUACCUAUUUUAGGCAACAAUUAAUGCAUUAUCUAUGAGAAAGUAUUUGGAUUUCCUUCUGAUUAUUUAAAUUUUCUUUGUUUAUGUAGAAUAAUGAGAUAUGGAGAGGAUAAGGAAAAUAAUGGCAACUAUCAGGAAUUCAAAUAAAAGCAGCAGUGGAAGAUGGAUAUCAAAUCAGGAAAUUCUUGAUUUUGUUUCCUAAUGUUAUCUGCAAGCGUUGGGAGAUAGAUAUUUUAGAUUUCCUAUAAAUAGGAAAGAGAGAAGCUCGGUUUUUGGGGGGUUAGAUCGUUUUCGAUUGUUCUGAAAGUUUUUCAAGUAUUUUGAAGAGAAGACAAAAGUGGUGAUAGAAUUCUUGUCAUUUGAUUCAAGAUGCUGGGUUUGAUCUAUAUUUUUAUUUUUAUUUCUUAUUCUACUAUCUAAUUUUCUUUUGUUAGGGCUACGAUGUAGCCUAACCAUGAUGAUGUGAAUUUCAUGAUUUUUAUGUUUUAUAAUUGAUUUCAUUCAUGUGAGUUAUAUAUUAUUGUGUUUAAUGCUUUUGAGUGACUGGCCACCACUUGAAUGAUCUGAUGUGCAUGUUUGAGACUGAGAAGUGAUAAUAUGCAAUUGCUCAUUAUAAUAUAUAACCAUGAAUUAAAUGUGGAUAGAGAUAUACCGUGUUAUUUGUGUAGCUUUCGGUGAUAAGGUGAUCCAAAAGACUCAUUGUAAACCGGGAAUAUUCAUAAUUUUUAAUGCACUCAUGUUUAUUUUAAUUCACAUAGAGAUAUAGUGAAUUGAUAAGCUGAGUAGGUUUGUUAUACCUAGAGAUAGGAUAAUAAAUAGAUUAGGAAAUUCCACUAUCACAUGUUUGAUAUCGUUCUUGUAUUCACAACAAUCUGAAAUUCAUAUCUAGUGGUUAUGGUGAAAUCGGAUGCUCUAACAUAUUUAUCUGAUCGAUUUACUGCAUUUAGUCUACAAAUUUCGUUUUUAAUUUAUUCUUAAUUAUAUUUUGCUUUGUUAGAUAAAUUUUAGAAUUAGUCUAUUUUAGUAUUUAAUUGGUUUAUUAAUCAUCGAUCUCUGUGGGACGAUACUUUAUCUCAUCAUUAUAUUACUUGUUCGAUACGUGCACUUGCGUUUAGAAUUUUAUGAAUAGUAAGGCUUCGGCAGCUAUCCUCCAAAGAUAUAACAGACCUUCUUCUAUACUCCGCACUGAAUAUUAGAAUGAAAUAGAACAACUUUUGUGUAUAACCCAGCAAAAAGAAAAUGAAAUAUGUGAGAACAUAUUGUAUCUAUUAAGAUUGUGGUUUGAAGUUUAAUUUAUAUUUAAACAAGGAAAAGAGAGAGCCGUUAGGAGAUCAUCGUAAAUCAAUUAGUAAUUAAAAAGAUGACUGUUAUAAAACAAUGAAGAGUUUAUGAAGUAAUAAAUCAAAAGUUAUAAAGCCAUUAGACGACCAUUAUACAACCAUUAGAAAACCGUUAUAUGAUCAUUGAAAAAACCAUUACAAAAAUGAUGAUUUUCAUGACGAUCAUAAUUUCUAAUAAAUAUUUCAAAACUACUGAAAUAUCCAACACUGCAUGGCCGAUGAAUGCGAUCAACUCUGAAAAGCAUUCUCAGGGGCACGCUAUCUCCUUGCCACCUUUCUCAUUUCUUCGUGCUCCCCUGUCGUGGGGGGUACGGUCUGAGUGAUCUUGUGGUGGCAAUCUGUUCUAGAGUUCUUGUGCUUUCUUUUUGGGGUGAUCGGCUGCUAAGGUCGAGCUAUUUUUGGGUCCAGGAGUGAUCAGGAGAUGCAAAAAAAUUUGAUCAUUAUGAUUUCCUUUUGAAUUCGACAUGAUUAUUCCAUUGUAGCUGCAACAUGUUCACCGGUACAAGUAAAGAAAUUGAUCUCCUACCUUGAGCCCAGCAUGUAGUGUGGUCUUGGAAAAAAAAAAUUACACUUUAUUGUCUAAUCUAAUCUUUUCUUGUUUGAUGAUUCUCAUGAACGAUCUUGAAGGAUGGGCAACAAAUGCGAAGUUGAUCAUUGGCUCAUAGAAAUUCAGUGCAGAGGAAGCUGAUUAGGCAAACCUAUGCCGAGAAUUAUGGCGAGGACCUCUUCAAGGCAGAGACUUGUAUUUGUCUCCUAGUUGCUGUUUUCUCUAGUGAGCUCAUGCCGUUACGAUGGAAAUGAGGUGAACGUGACUUUGGCAAAAGCAGACGCUAAGACUCCACGCAAGGAUCUCGGAAAAGGCUUACGGUCAUGAGGAUCUCAUAAGGAUUUUGGCUACUAGGAGCAAAGCACAGGUCAAUGCUACAUUGAAUCACUGCAAAAAUGA